UGGAUUGAAACCAAACAUAGUAUGAAUGCUCCUUAUGAGAUGCUAAACAAGUGUUGUUACUUUGUAGCCGAUCCAUUAUCCAAGAUGGCCGCCAGGGGGGACUUAGUAUAACAUGGGAACUUAUAGGAAAUACAUAUAAAUGUCUUCUUUUAGAGAACCAUUGAAUAAAAUGAAACCAAACAUAGCAUGAAUGUUCCUUAUGAGAUGCUGACCAAGUGUUGUUACUUUGUAGCCGAUCCAUCAUCCAAGAUGGCCGCCAG
rnacentral:lncRNA from 1 species